GCGCAGCGCUGCCGGGAACGACCCUCCCUCGGCCGCGCCUCCUCCUUCCUGCUGGUGAAACGGUUACCUGUGGCAGUCCUGAAGAGGUGUCUUUACGUGGGCAGCGCCCCUGGUGCAGUGUUGGACUGGAACGCAAGCCAUGCACUCUCUCAGGGUGUGCUAGCAGCUAUCAAUUUGCUCCGGCCACUUCCAGGAGGCACGAAUCAAAAGCAUUUGAAGACUAUCCAUGCCAUCCAUGGGCAGAUGGGGCAAGCAGCAGAC